GAUGAACGCUGGCGGCGUGCUUAAUACAUGCAAGUCGAGCGAACGGACGAGAAGCUUGCUUCUCUGAUGUUAGCGGCGGACGGGUGAGUAACACGUGGAUAACCUACCUAUAAGACUGGGAUAACUUCGGGAAACCGGAGCUAAUACCGGAUAAUAUUUUGAACCGCAUGGUUCAAAAGUGAAAGACGGUCUUGCUGUCACUUAUAGAUGGAUCCGCGCUGCAUUAGCUAGUUGGUAAGGUAACGGCUUACCAAGGCAACGAUGCAUAGCCGACCUGAGAGGGUGAUCGGCCACACUGGAACUGAGACACGGUCCAGACUCCUACGGGAGGCAGCAGUAGGGAAUCUUCCGCAAUGGGCGAAAGCCUGACGGAGCAACGCCGCGUGAGUGAUGAAGGUCUUCGGAUCGUAAAACUCUGUUAUUAGGGAAGAACAUAUGUGUAAGUAACUGUGCACAUCUUGACGGUACCUAAUCAGAAGGCCACGGCUAACUACGUG
rnacentral:rRNA from 1 species